rnacentral:rRNA from 1 species
AGAGUUUGAUCCUGGCUCAGAACGAACGCUGGCGGCGUGCUUAACACAUGCAAGUCGAACGAUGAAGCCCUUCGGGGGGUUCACGAGCGGCGAACGGGUGAGUAACACGUGAGUAAUCUGCCCUUCACUUCGGGAUAAGCCUCAGAAAUGGGGUCUAAUACCGGAUAUGACUGUCCUGCGCAUGUGGGGUGGUGGAAAGAUUUGGUUCGGUGGGGGAUGUGCUCGCGGCCUAUCAGCUUGAUGGUGGGGUAAUGGCCUACCAUGGCUUCGACGGGUAGCCGGCCUGAGAGGGUGACCGGUCACACUGGGACUGAGACACGGCCCAGACCCCUACGGGAGGCAGCAGUGGGGAAUUGUUCGCAAUGGGCGCAAGCCUGACGACGCAACGCCGCGUGGAGGAUGAAGGCCUUCGGGUCGUAAACUCCUGUUGAUCGGGAAGAAUGGCCCCUGGAUUAAUACUCCGGGGGAAUGACGGUACCGAUUGAGGAAGCCACGGCUAACUCUGUGCCAGCAGCCGCGGUAAUACAGAGGUGGCAAGCGUUGUUCGGAAUUACUGGGCGUAAAGGGCGCGUAGGCGGCUUCUUAAGUCAGACGUGAAAUCCCCAGGCUUAACCUGGGAACUGCGUCUGAUACUGAAAAGCUUGAGUUCGGGAGAGGGAUGUGGAAUUCCAGGUGUAGCGGUGAAAUGCGUAGAUAUCUGGAGGAACACCGGUGGCGAAGGCGGCAUCCUGGACCGAAACUGACGCUGAGGCGCGAAAGCCAGGGGAGCAAACGGGAUUAGAUACCCCGGUAGUCC